CAAGUCGAACGGACCUAGGUCUUCGGAUUUAGGUUAGUGGCGAACGGGUGAGGAAUACAUGGAUAACGUACCCCGGACUCGAGAAUAGCGGCGGGCUUCGGCCCUUUGCGAAAGUGCCGGUAAUACUCGAUGACCCCGCGGAAUCGCAUGAUUCUGCGGGCAAAGCUCCGACGGUCCGGGAGCGGUUCAUGUCCUAUCAGCUUGUUGGUGGGGUAACGGCCUACCAAGGCAUCGACGGGUAGCGGGCGUGAGAGCGCGACCCGCCACAUCGGGACUGAGACACUGCCCGGACACCUACGGGUGGCUGCAGCAACGAAUAUUCCGCAAUGGACGAAAGUCUGACGGAGCGACGCCGCGUGCAGGAAGAAGUCCUUCGGGAUGUAAACUGCUGUCAGGGGUGAGGAAUAACUUGACCAACCCCAGAGGAAGCACUGGCUAACUCCGUGCCAGCAGCCGCGGUAAUACGGAGAGUGCAAGCGUUGUUCGGAAUUACUGGGCUUAAAGAGCGUGUAGGCGGAAUGCCAGGUGUCCUGUGAAAGCCCCGGGCUCAACCCGGGAAUGGCAGGGCAAACCGGCAUUCUUGAGGCAGGUAGAGGUCACUGGAACAAGUGGUGGAGCGGUGAAAUGCGUAGAUAUCACUUGGAACGCCGGAGGCGAAAGCGGGUGGCUGGACCUGUCCUGACGCUGAGACGCGAAAGCGUGGGUAGCGAACAGGAUUAGAUACCCUGGUAGUCC
rnacentral:rRNA from 1 species